UAAACAUUUUAAUAAAGUAGCGAAAAAGCUGACAAAUUAUUUAACCAAAUUUAAAGCUGAACAAAUAUCAGAAACUGUUUAUGGUGAUGAUGAUGAUAAUAUAUAUGAAGAUUUCGAAUUGUGGAAAAAACAAACAUUCACUGCACUUUCAAAAAUAUUAAGUAUACCACAUAUACCCAUAGAAUAUGUUAAUGGUGAUAAUAUUGAAUUUAUAAAUUGGAAAAAUGACCCUGAAAUAAAACUUGAUAUUGAAUUUGUGGACGAUCUAACAGUAGUAAACGACCAGUCAAAUGAAAAUGACAACAAAAUUAACGAAACGAGUGAAACAAAAAAUAAAAAAAUUUUACAUUCGAACACAUGUUUAACAGGAAAGUUUUAUUUCAAUCAUCAUACAGGUAAAGUACUAUCUAACACAAAUUUGUUAAAUAAUACAAAAAAUUUAAUAGAAUAUGAUAAAGUAAAUCAUAUAAACAUUUCAAUAAAAAACAUUUCUUAUAAAUCUGCUGAUACGUUAGUUCUACUUCCGAAAAAUGCAAAGUAUUUAACAACUUGGUGGUUAAAACGGUUAAACAUAAACGAAAUAGAAAAGAAUAAAAAGUUUAUUUUUGUAAAAAAAAAAAAAGAUUCAACAAAGCUUUCACAUACACAAUCAUGUGAUACGAACAUACGUGCUGGUAAUCCUAGUAGUAAUGGUAAUCAUAGCUAUGGUGAAAAUUUUAUGCCAAAUGAAAAUACAAAUCAAGAUAUAUACCCAACUAUUGAUCAUGAUGAUUCGAUUUGUGUACCCUUCCCAACACCAUGCAGUGUUGAACGCGCAUUAGAUUAUUAUUGUGAUUUGUCAACUAUGCCAAAAGUAAAUGUAUUAAAAAAAUUCAAAUGUUUUAUUAAAGAUAAAGAAGAAUUAAAGAUGUUUAAUUCUGUUUUAUCAAGUAAUAAAAGAAAUACGUUUUUUAAUAUAUGUAAAGAAUGUAACAUGACUUUGAUAGAAUUUAUAGAUAUAUUCAUGCCAAAAGCAGUUUUUGAAUUAGCACCAUUUCU
rnacentral:lncRNA from 1 species